rnacentral:lncRNA from 1 species
UUUAAGAUAGGUUUCUUCUUAACAAAGCCAGGUUUUUUUUCACACUAUAAAGUGAUCAAACAUUUCUAUUUGUAGAUUCAUAAAAGAAAAAUAUGGCUAAAGUUAAUAUAUUUAUUUGUGCUAUGAUUAUCUAUUUUUUCCUAUUUACUUCUAUAACAAACGGCAGUAAGUAAUUUUUAUCAAUGCUUUUAAAUUUGGUGAACAAUAGUAUCUAAGAAUCUUGUUGGGUACCGGUUGUAUCUAUUUAAAAUUCAUUAUAUCAUGUUAUAUUUUUAUAUUAAUUUAUAGGGUUAACUAAGUUUUUGAUCCAUUUAUCUAAUUUUUUUUUUCUAUUCUGUAUAUAAAAAAUUAAACAAGUAUCGAUACUCAAUAUUUCUUGUCACAAUUUUUGGUCUCUACUUUUAAAUUGACUCAUGUAUAUUAUUAGAAAUUUUGAUACUUUUUUUUUGCUGUCAUGUUUAAUUAUUCCGUUAUAAAAAUAUCUUUACAAAAUUUAAUUUCUUUUAUCAAAAGAAGAAUUAAAUAUAAACUUCAAUAUUUGUGGCGCUUUAAAAUUCAUAUUUAAUUCAUCUUUUAUUAUAAUUGUUUAAUUUUUUAUGGAUGAAAUUCUUAUAUAUUAUAAACAAAUAUAAUAGAGACCAAAAGUUAUCAGAGAAAAAUAUUUGAGAAACUAAAAGAAAAUCUUUACAAGAACUGAAUAUUUUUUUUUUGAUAUAUUUAUAAGAAUUAAAAACUUUACUUAACUUAUUAAAUAAUGUUUUUUUAAAGGAAUUAUUAAAAAAAAAUUGACGAAAAAUUAUUAAAAAUUGUUGAUGACGUUCCUUAAUGUUUAAUUAUUAUUAUUUAUUUUUGAUAAGCUCCUUAAUGUUUAUUUGAUAUAUAUCACAGAUAUUGAAGGUUAUUGCCUAGAGGAUAUAGAUUGUCGAAACCAUUUGUGUAUCUCUCCACAAGUUGCAUUUUGCGAUUAUUUUGAACAUGUGUGUGAUUGUCAAGACCCACCCAUGAAGCCAAAAUAUUAGUCCAAAUAAAUAAAUAAAUAAUUACCCUGAAAGUUAAUUGAAAAAUAAUACGGAGUAAUAUGUUAUUUUUACUCAGUUGUUUUUUAUGAUUUAUUUUGUAUUUGUUAUAAAUAUUAUCGGUGGAUGCUAUAUAAUUGGUCCAUUAUAUUUUAACUAUAUAUAGAUAUCAUGUAUCUCUUAUCUCUUAUAUUAUAAGCUUGUAUACACAAGCAAAUCCUAAAUGUAAUUUGUUUUCCCUCCACUUUUAUCUUGCA